GCUUACACAGGGGCCGUAUCACACACAUUAUGCAGGCUGCAGGGAGACAAGCUUGUUAAUUUCAGGCUAUAUACUGUAGUAUUUUCUGCCAGCCGCAAGUAAUGCUCCUGUGAGAAACAAGUAAUACCGGACAUCUGGUCACCGAGAAAAAUGGUUAGCCUGAGUUUUUAGUUAAGUUUUUUAUUUUGAAAGGCCAGAGCACGGGGGCGUGGCUUUCCACCGCAGCCAUACCUGUCUCAUCUCUGGACCAGUAAGAUGGCUUCCAUUGCACUGCGCCUCCAGCAGCGACAAACAGAGGCGGCUCUUAGGAGGAGAGGUUUCAGCUCCAGGUUUGGAUGCAGCUUCCCAGAAUCUCCCAGUGAUCCUCUUCUUCCUCCUGACAUCGUCUUCCUCACUGUCUCCUCAUCUUUUAUAAAUUAUAGGAAUAUUUUUUCAUGAUUCCCCAAACAUUGGCUGAAUAUCUGCUUGUAUGUUAUUGUAAUAAAUACAUUUUUAUGAAAA